rnacentral:rRNA from 1 species
GUGCUCCCCCGCCAAUUCCUGCAGACGUGGCGCAGUCGUUGCCGCCCGAAGGGUUGGAAGUGGAAGGACUCGGAUUCAUUAUUUUUCCUAACGGAUGAUCAUCGCCUGGAUCAUUGCCGAAACGGCGGGAAUCGUGGAUGUCGUUCUCGGAUUUUUCUCGAGGGGCGGCCUUUUCAUGUGGCCGCUGCUGAUAUGUUCGAUCGUGUCAGUUACGAUCAUGAUUUUACGUGGGCUAGCGUUGCGAAGGAAAAUUGUAAUGCCUGCUGGGAUCGAAUCGGAAAUAGAACGGAUGACGCCGGGCGAAAAUCCCGAACGGCUGUCACGUCUCGUCUAUCAUGAUCCUUCGUCGCUGGCGCGGAUUACCCGCGUGGCUCUGCAGCAUCUGCGCGGCCCGCGUUCGGAAAAUGUUGAAGUCGUGCAAACCCGUGCGCGGCACGAGAUGGUGCGGCUGGAGCGAGGCCUCAUCAUUCUUGAAAUCAUUGUUGGAAUUGCGCCACUGCUCGGAUUGAUCGGGGCCGUUUCCGGCCUGGUACACGUUUUUUCGAACCUGGGCUUGAGCUCCGGCAGGAUCAACCGGAG